rnacentral:tRNA from 1 species
AAUAAGAUGCCUGAAAUAAAAGGUUUAAUUUGAUAGAUUAAGUUAUGUGUAAUUUACACUUUUAUUG